rnacentral:rRNA from 1 species
AAAUUGAAGAGUUUGAUCAUGGCUCAGAUUGAACGCUGGCGGCAGGCCUAACACAUGCAAGUCGAACGGUAACAGAAAGCAGCUUGCUGCUUUGCUGACGAGUGGCGGACGGGUGAGUAAUGUCUGGGAAACUGCCUGAUGGAGGGGGAUAACUACUGGAAACGGUGGCUAAUACCGCAUAACGUCGCAAGACCAAAGAGGGGGACCUUCGGGCCUCUUGCCAUCAGAUGUGCCCAGAUGGGAUUAGCUUGUUGGUGAGGUAACGGCUCACCAAGGCGACGAUCCCUAGCUGGUCUGAGAGGAUGACCAGCCACACUGGAACUGAGACACGGUCCAGACUCCUACGGGAGGCAGCAGUGGGGAAUAUUGCACAAUGGGCGCAAGCCUGAUGCAGCCAUGCCGCGUGUAUGAAGAAGGCCUUCGGGUUGUAAAGUACUUUCAGCGGGGAGGAAGGUGUUGUGGUUAAUAACCGCAGCAAUUGACGUUACCCGCAG